AAUACGUAGGCAGCGAGCGUUGUUCGGAGUUACUGGGCGUAAAGCGUGCGUAGGCGGUCUUGUAAGUCUGGUGUGAAAUCUCCCGGCUCAACUGGGAGGGUGCGCCGGAAACUGCAAGGCUGGAGUAUGGGAGAGGUAGGCGGAAUUCCUGGUGUAGCGGUGAAAUGCGUAGAUAUCAGGAGGAACACCUGUGGUGUAGACGGCUUACUGGACCAUGACUGACGCUGAGGCACGAAAGCGUGGGGAGCAAACA
rnacentral:rRNA from 1 species